AGAGUUUGAUCAUGGCUCAGGACGAACGCUGGCGGCGUGCUUAACACAUGCAAGUCGAACGAGAUCCAACCAGUGGCAACACUGGGGAAGAUCUAGUGGCGAACGGGUGAGUAACACGUGAGGAACCUGCCCCGAAGUCUGGGAUAAGCCCUCGAAAGGGGGUCUAAUACCGGAUGUCCUCAUCAGGUCGCAUGGCCGGAUGAGGAAAGGUCCGCUGCUUCGGGAGGGCCUCGCGGCCUAUCAGCUUGUUGGUGAGGUAACGGCUCACCAAGGCUACGACGGGUAGCUGGUCUGAGAGGACGAUCAGCCACACUGGGACUGAGACACGGCCCAGACUCCUACGGGAGGCAGCAGUGGGGAAUCUUGCGCAAUGGGCGAAAGCCUGACGCAGCAACGCCGCGUGCGGGAUGACGGCCUUCGGGUUGUAAACCGCUUUCAGUGGGGACGAAAUCAGACGGUACCCACAGAAGAAGCCCCGGCCAACUACGUGCCAGCAGCCGCGGUAACACGUAGGGGCGAGCGUUGUCCGGGAUUCAUUGGGCGUAAAGAGCUCGUAGCGGCUCAGUAAGUCGGGUGUGAAACCCUCAGGCUCAACCUGGGGACGCCACUCGAUACUGCUGUGGCUAGAGUCCAGUACGGGGA
rnacentral:rRNA from 1 species